ACUCCUACGGGAGGCAGCAGUGGGGAAUUUUGGACAAUGGGCGCAAGCCUGAUCCAGCAAUGCCGCGUGCGGGAAGAAGGCCUUCGGGUUGUAAACCGCUUUUGUACGGAACGAAAAGGCUCUGGCUAAUACCUGGGGCUGAUGACGGUACCGUAAGAAUAAGCACCGGCUAACUACGUGCCAGCAGCCGCGGUAAUACGUAGGGUGCGAGCGUUAAUCGGAAUUACUGGGCGUAAAGCGUGCGCAGGCGGUCUUGUAAGACAGAGGUGAAAUCCCUGGGCUCAACCUAGGAAUGGCCUUUGUGACUGCAAGGCUGGAGUGCGGCAGAGGGGAGUGAAUUCCGCGUGUAGCAGUGAAAUGCGUAGAUAUGCGGAGGAACACCGAUGGCGAAGGCAGUCCCCUGGGCCUCGCACUGACGCUCAUGCACGAAAGCGUGGGGAGCAAACAGGAUUAGAUACCCUGGUAGGUG
rnacentral:rRNA from 1 species